rfam:Ictidomys tridecemlineatus contig093625, whole genome shotgun sequence.
AUUCUUUUAUGGUUCAUAAACAUGAUGAUUGGGUUUUCACAUUUAAGUGUAAGAUAUGCCUCACUCAAUCCUUGUUAUGACACUAGCACACUUUCUGACA